rnacentral:rRNA from 1 species
AUGGCACCAAUUACCGAGUGUUUGAAGAAAGGAAAGUUCCAAUGGGCAGAAGCAGCUGAAGAUAGCUUCAAUGUGAUUAAACAAAAGCUAUCACAAGCUCCUGUCUUGGUACUACCUGAUUUCAACAAGACUUUUGAGUUGGAGUGUGAUGCAAGUGGAGUAGGCAUUGGAGCUGUCCUAUCUCAAGAAAGGAAGCCCAUUGCUUUCUUUAGUGAGAAGUUAAGUGAAGCUAGACAGAAAUGGAGUACCCAUCAACAAGAAUUAUACGCCGUUUUUAGAGCAUUGAAAACUUGGGAAGUCUAUUUGCUGCCUAAAGAGUUCAUUGUUUAUAGCGACCAUCAAUCCUUGAAGCAUUUUGGAAAUCAAAGGCAUGUUGACCGCAUGCUAGCAAGAUGGGCAGCAUAUCUGGAGAGAUUUAACUAUCUCAUCAUGCAUAAAUCUGGAAUAACUAACAGAGUGGCCGAUGCUUUGAGUCGUCGUGCAUGCCUCUUGACUUCUUUUGAAGCUGAACUUCCGGGCAUGGAUCAAAUAAAGGAGUUGUAUGAGGGUGACGAAGACUUUGGCCAUGUUUGGGUAAAGCACGCAAGGGGCCAACCAUUAGGUGAUGACUAUUUGAUGCAAGAUGGAUAUCUCUUCAAAAAUGAUCGUUUGUGCAUUCCAAGAAGUUCUCUACAUGACAAGCUGGUUAGAGAGCUCCAUUCAAGUGAUCUUAGUGGCCAUGUUGGACGUGACAAGACUAUCGCUAACCUGGAAGCUCGCUACUUUUGGCCAUAA